GCGUGUGUGUGCGUGUGUGUUCAUCUGAGCCAAUUGGUCUGUCACUGCUCCGUCAAUGUCGGAAUAUUUGCGAUGAUCACGUAUUUGCGUACAGCUUGUUCACCUGCUCAAUUUCUCUGCUGAGUAGUAAUUUACCUCAGUCGCUCUCGCUCGACUACAGUGACAAGAACAUCGCUGGAUCGGAUGAUCUGAGCGUUUUAGACGGCUUGGAUCCGCGGGGAUCGCUCUGUCAAUUCAUAUUUGCAGUCACGUCACAACCAUGCUUCCAACCUAAGUGUUGAGACAUAUGAGUCCUAUCAAGUGGUCAAAUACAACCUGAAGGCCAUGCAGGUGUCGGCCAUUCAGCACUACUCCCGGAAGACAAAGGAGAGUCCUGUUAAUGUAAAGCUGUGCAGAAAUGUAAAACUAUCAAGCCAAAGGUACAGAGCUCUGCUCAGAAAUAAAGAAGAACUGAACAAAAGGCCUUAUCACUCUGCGAAGCCAACGGCCAGCAAGA